GGUUGUAUAGUGUAGCGGUUAUCACUCCAGAUUUUGAUUAUAUCAAAACUUCUGGUAACCCCGGUUCGAACCCGGGUACGACCU